rnacentral:tRNA from 1 species
AUUUAAGUAGUUUAAAAAAUAUCGAUUUGUGGUGUCGAAGUUGUAGUUAAAUUUAUUACCUUAAAUC